ACGUGGAAGCCCCGCAAGGGGUGGAGCUGACCGGUACUAACAGUCGAACGGCAACA
rnacentral:rRNA from 1 species